CCUGUGGAGAAGGACGCCGAAGGUGGGGCUGAUGACUGGGGUGAAGUCGUAACAAGGUAGCCGUACCGGAAGGUGCGGCUGGAUCACCUCCUAACAGGGAGACAAUAAAUAGAUUGUGAUGUCUAAGUUAUUUAUUCUUAGGCCGCAAUCCUGUCACCUUAAGGUCGAUCGGUACCUCUGAUUUCCGAAUUAGUUUUAUAAUUGAUUCUUUGAUUUCAGUUCCUAAACUUGUCUAGGUCACACCCAACAAAGGUUUCUCCUGGGCCAUUAGCUCAGGUGGUUAGAGCGCACCCCUGAUAAGGGUGAGGUCCCUGGUUCAAGUCCAGGAUGGCCCAUUCGUUGUUGGGGGUAUAGCUCAGUUGGUAGAGCGCCUGCUUUGCAAGCAGGAUGUCAGCGGUUCGAGUCCGCUUACCUCCACUGAAAACUAUCCUGAUAACUAAAUUCUGGAGAAAAAUUUGUAGAUGUGGCUUAGAAUUGUCUAUUUGAAAAGAACCUAGCUUCUUGUCAUCUUUUUAUAGUUGAUAACAUGCUGGGCUCACAUGGAUUAUUCCAUGAGAUUUCAGUAGAACCUUGAAAACUGCAUAGAUUAGAAAGAAUAAAGCAUCUCAUGGAUGCAUAAUUCUAUUUUUAUAAUUUAGCCUCAAAACUAAAUUAUUUAUUUCUAGAAUUCAUGUUUAAUUCUUGAGUAAAAGCCGAGCACAAUUGAUUUUGUGAUUGUAUUUAAGGUCAAGCUACAAAGGGCUCAUGGCG
rnacentral:misc_RNA from 1 species